rnacentral:rRNA from 1 species
AGAGUUUGAUCCUGGCUCAGGAUAAACGCUGGCGGCGUGCCUAACACAUGCAAGUCGAACGCCCUGGUAACAGGGAGUGGCGGACGGGUGAGGAACACGUGGGUAUCUGCCCAGAGGUGAGGAAUACCGGCGAGAAAUCGCCGACAAUACCGCAUAUCUUCGCAAGAAGAAAGUCGUAAGACGCCUUUGGAUGAGCCUGC